CAACUUCUAUUUUUUCAUAUAAUCGUAGGGAUAUGGCCUACAAGUUUCUACCGACUUGCCGUAAAUAAGUCGACUAUGAGAAGAGAAGAUAAA
rnacentral:ncRNA from 1 species